CAGGAAAUCAGUCUCUCCAACCUCAAGACUUCCUUUAGAAUUUUGUGGAUUCAAGGUCAAGGACUGAGUGGAUCAACAGUUUUGUGAAGGUUCGAGACCAAUUUGUUGUACAACUGGAAAACCAGAAGACACUUUCCUGACUCAUAUAUAACGCAGGAAAAUGAUAUAAAGCUCAGAAACUGAGGACAGAGAAUGUAUUACAGCAUAACUACACCUUCAGUUUGAAAAAGGACAAGAUCUUUGCAU